UACGGAGGAUGCAAGCGUUAUCCGGAAUGAUUGGGCGUAAAGCGUCCGCAGGUGGCAAUGUAAGUCUGCUGUCAAAGCGUCUGGCUCAACCAGAUAAAGGCAGUGGAAACUACAUAGCUAGAGUAAGGUAGGGGUAGAGGGAACUCCUGGUGUAGCGGUGAAAUGCGUAGAGAUCAGGAAGAACACCGGUGGCGAAAGCGCUCUGCUGGACCUUAACUGACACUGAGGGACGAAAGCUAGGGGAGCGAAUGGG
rnacentral:rRNA from 1 species